CCAGGGACGGCCUCUCUCCCCCGCUCUAGCCCCAUGUGAGGCCGGAGAGUGCACUCCCAGGCUGGACGAGGGUGGAGGCGAGCGAAUGCCCCAUCGCCGGCGGCCGCCCCGCGCAUCCUCCUGCCGGAGGCGCCACCAUCGCUCGUCGUUUUCCGAGAGCUCGCCUGCGCAUUUGAGCAGCGAGCAGACGGGGCCGGACGGGACGGCCGCCGUGGUAGACGAGAGGAAGCGCUGCAGGAGAGGGUCCCGGAGGAGGGGCGGCGCCGCCUGUGGAGUUGCUGGCUCAACAGAUUUUUUUGGUUUACAUCGUUGUGCCUUUUCUUUGCAUCUAGCAGCGGGUCUGGUUGGGGUAAAGUGGUAAACACACGAAGGAGAUAAGCAACCAGACAUUGUUGUUGGUACCAGCAGUAAUUUCUGCCCCUCUCUAUUUUAUUUUUAGGUGGCCAUUAUGCUAUGUUAAAAAGAGUGUCACAUAUGCCCUGCAACUGUUUGUGUUCAUGUUUGAAUGGUGGAAAGAACAUUUUUCUAGAAAAGUUAACUCUCAUCCAAUGGAGAAAAUCAUCAUAUUGUGUUAAAAGAAGUGCCACAUAUGCUUUUCAAUUGUUUGUGUUCCUUGUUAAUGCAGAAAGAAUAUUUGUGCAGAAAUGCACAGUACUGAAGAAUUCAUUGGCAACCAGAAAAUGAAGCUAGGAAGUACGUCAAGCAGCUUAUUGACGCCAAUGAUUAUUGCCAUACCAAAGGAGUCUAUCAUAGAGGUCUGAAGGGAGUAGGCCUCUUCACACAACUGUGGCAUGGAAAAUUACAUUGCUCCUGAGACGAGAGGAAGCGCUGCAGGAGAGGGUCCCGGAGGAGGGGCGGCGGCGCCUGUGGAGUUGCUGGCUCAACAGAUUUUUUUGGUUUACAUCGUUGUGCCUUUUCUUUGCAUCUAGCAGCGGGUCUGGUUGGGGUAAAGUGGUAAACACACGAAGGAGAUAAGCAACCAGACAUUGUUGUUGGUACCGGCAGUAAUUUCUGCCCCUCUCUAUUUUAUUUUUAGGUGGCCAUUAUGCUAUGUUAAAAAAGAGUGUCACAUAUGCCCUGCAACUGUUUGUGUUCAUGUUUGAAUGGUGGAAAGAACAUUUUUCUAGAAAAGUUAACUCUCAUCCAAUGGAGAAACUCAUCAUAUUGUGUUAAAAGAAGUGCCACAUGAGCUUUUCAAUUGUUUGUGUUCCUUGUUAAUGCAGAAAGAAUAUUUGUGCAGAAAUGCACAGUACUGAAGAAUUCAUUGGCAACCAGAAAAUGAAGCUAGGAAGUACGUCAAGCAGCUUAUUGACGCCAAUGAUUAUUGCCAUACCAAAGGAGUCUAUCAUAGAGGUCUGAAGGGAGUAGGCCUCUUCACACAACUGUGGCAUGGAAAAUUACAUUGCUCCUGAGGUCCCUGAGUUGGUUAAUGUUGAUUUUGCUCAGGCACGGUCCAUCUUAGGGAUCAACGAGAGGUGGCUCAAGCGAUACGGGAUGGCGGCGAGCAGCGGCGACCGCAGCGGACGGUGCAGCAGACUGGACAUGCUUUAGAAAUCACGGUCAAGACAACACGUCUUGGGGAGUGGUGCGCCUGUCAAGCGACAGCGUCUGAUUCCUACACAACAAGGACUGUCACUCAAGUCUUAGGAUUUGACAACAUUAUUUCUGGCUGUUAGAUUGUACAACAUAUUUGUUAUGGAUUGUGACAUCCACAUAAUAGUGGAUUCAGCCAGAGAAGGCGGGGAUCCGUGGAUGCCAGUGAGGGAAGCAGCUUGGCUCGGGCCGACCAUGGCGCUAGCGUUGCAACUCGCCGCCAUCCUCCUUCGUCUCCCAUCCACAGCUGGCUCCAACCCCUCCUCUGAUGUGGUGCUAUGAGAGCAAGAAAAAGAGCAGACAUGCUCUGUAUCUACAUCCAGCGUCCACACAGCCAGAUAAUGGAUGUAAUUGUGUGCAUGGAGCUCGCUGAUCUGUGGUUCUUGUGCAACAAAGACCCUUCAGUUAGGUUAUAAAAUCCUUAAUUAUUGGAGCCAUUCAUAUGCAUGUAUCAUGCAUGUAUCAACGAAUGAAGGAAGAAGAUUUUCUUGUAUUACUUUAUGACUUUUUGUCUUUGAUCAUUGAAUGGCACACGCAUAUGCUGAUGUAUAAUGCUUGUUCUGGUAUAUAUUUGU